ACUUUGUCAUAAUUUUUCGGCGCUUGGCAGCGAAAGACGUGUUUGUGAAACCUUUUGUUUGUGAAAAAGUGAAAAAUGUAAACGCUAUUAAAGGACUUGGGAGGCGAUUCUUUCUCUGUUUUCUGAGGAAAAUGCAGCUGAAACUUAAAAAGAUUUGACUGGAAGCAGCGGUCCAGAUGUAGAGUUUUGGAAGUGUGGCAGAACAAAAUUGAGAACGUCUUUGAGAUCCAGCUUCCGCAAACCACUUUGG